rnacentral:rRNA from 1 species
CCUACGGGAGGCAGCAGUGAGGAAUAUUGGUCAAUGGCCGGAAGGCUGAACCAGCCAAGCCGCGUGAAGGACGAAGGUGCCAAGCAUUGUAAACUUCUUUUGUCAAGGGACAAAAUCAGGCUCGAGAGCCUGACCGCGGGUACUUGAAGAAACAGCAUCGGCUAACUCCGUGCCAGCAGCCGCGGUAAUACGGAGGAUGCGAGCGUUAUCCGGAUUUGUUGGGUUUAAAGGGUGCGUAGGCGGACUGUUAAGUCCACGGUAAAAGCCCGGGGCUCAACCCCGGCGAGCCGUGGAAACUGGCGGUCUUGAGAUGUCGAGAGGUAUGCGGAAUGCGCAGUGUAGCGGUGAAAUGCUUAGAUAUUGCGCAGAACUCCGAUUGCGAAGGCAGCAUACCGGCGGCGAUCUGACGCUGAGGCACGAAAGCGUGGGUAUCGAACAGGAUUAGAUACCCGAGUAGUC